rnacentral:rRNA from 1 species
GACGAACGCUGGCGGCGUGCUUAACACAUGCAAGUCGAACGGAAAGGCCUUUUCGGCGGUACUCGAGUGGCGAACGGGUGAGUAACACGUGGGUGAUCUGCCCUGCACUCUGGGAUAAGCCUGGGAAACUGGGUCUAAUACCGGAUAGGACCGCACUUUAGUGUGUGUGGUGGAAAGGUUUUUCGGUGUAGGAUGAGCCCGCGGCCUAUCAGCUUGUUGGUGGGGUAAUGGCCUACCAAGGCGGCGACGGGUAGCCGGACUGAGAGGUUGGUCGGCCACAUUGGGACUGAGAUACGGCCCAGACUCCUACGGGAGGCAGCAGUGGGGAAUAUUGCACAAUGGGCGCAAGCCUGAUGCAGCGACGCCGCGUGGGGGAUGACGGCCUUCGGGUUGUAAACUCCUUUCGCCAGGGACGAAGCGUUUUGUGACGGUACCUGGAGAAGAAGCACCGGCUAACUACGUG